rnacentral:rRNA from 1 species
UACGUAGGGAGCGAGCGUUGUCCGGAAUUACUGGGUGUAAAGGGUGCGCAGGCGGGACAUUAAGUUGGAUGUGAAAUGCCGGGGCUCAACCCCGGAGCUGCAUCCAAAACUGAAGUUCUUGAGUGAAGUAGAGGCAGGCGGAAUUCCGAGUGUAGCGGUGAAAUGCGUAGAUAUUCGGAGGAACACCAGUGGCGAAGGCGGCCUGCUGGGCUUUAACUGACGCUGAGGCACGAAAGCAUGGGGAGCAAACAGG